ensembl:misc_RNA
CUUCUCACCUGCCUCACAAGGCCAUCCACGACAACAGUGAUUCACGUUGGCUCUCUGGAUGAGCUUGCUGGGCAAGAAGCAUCAGUAUAAAUAGGCAGAUCUUAAUGUUGCUCUUGAUCAAUGACAGGUUUCUGACUGCCCAGG